rnacentral:rRNA from 1 species
GACGAACGCUGGCGGCGUGCCUAAUACAUGCAAGUCGAACGAGCGGCGGACGGGUGAGUAAUGUCUGGGAAACUGCCUGAUGGAGGGGGAUAACUCCUGGAAACGGUAGCUAAUACCGCAUACCAUCAGCUGUGCCCAGAUGGGAUUAGCUAGGAGGUGGGGUAACGGCUCACCUAGGCGACAAUCCCUAGCUGGUCUGAGAGGAUGACCAGCCAGACUGGAACUGAGACACGGUCCAGACGCCUACGGGAGGCAGCAGUGGGGAAUAUUGGACAAUGGGCGCAAGCCUGAUGCAGCCAUGCCGCGUGUAUGAAGAAGGCCGUCGGGUUGUAAAGUACUUUCAGCAGGGAGGCGUUACCCGCAGAAGAAGCACCGGCGAACUCCGUGCCAGCAGCCGCGGUAAUAC